GCCUCGGUAGCUCAGCCCGGAGGAGCGAGUGAUUUGUAAUCACUAGGCCGCGAGUUCGAAUCUCGCCCGGGGCU
rfam:Methanohalobium evestigatum Z-7303, complete genome.